AGUAGGAUGGCUGAGAUUUUAAGCGAUAAAUUGUAAAUUUAUUAACGGAGUUACUCCUUCUACUA
rnacentral:tRNA from 1 species